ensembl:lncRNA
GCAGAAUCCCAUCCUUUACUUGUGUUUCUUGAAACACUGCUAAGCAUCAUAUUUCUGCUGGGGUAAUCAUUUAUGUCAAUCUGAGAUUAGCUACAAAGAAUAUUUUCUGAAAGAUUAUUCAAAGAUUUAUAUUGAAAAAGCCAACUAAACAAACCUUUUCAUAAGAAAUCAAAAUAUCUUCAAAGGUUUUUUUCCACUUCAGCGAUAUUCAUAAAGCUCUUGAUACCGUCAAGAAGAAUGUCAAUUGUAAUGCAGGUAUCUGUCCAACAGGAAGUGUGCUGAGAUCACAGGAUCAAUUUUCAUAAGUGAUUGAAGAGCCAUCAGUAAGCAGUGAUGUUUUGUUUGGACGUUUUAAUGAACUGAAUCACAUACAAACUAAUGAUGUGUCAGAAGUUGAAAAGUCAUAGUCUCAUUUAGCAGUACUAGCCUUUAUACCCUUUAGUACUCCGAAGUGUUCCAUCUCAUUUUUCUUCUGUUUUUUUCUCUCAUUAUUUUCAUAGUAUUUCUUUUUAACUGUUUUCCAAGCUUUGCUCUAAGGACUUAUUUUUCACAAUAUAUUUUUCUCAAGUUAAUAUUUUAUCAGGCACAUUUAGGUCCUAAAAUUUGACUGUAUCUCUUGGGCAUUGAACUAAUAGUAACUAAUAGUAACACUAAUAGUAACUAACAACCUCACCUCUGGGCAAAAUUAGACCUGCAAAAUCAAGGUAGCCAUGCUUGUUUCCCCAAUAAUCAUCAGAAUGAUUCUUUAACAGUUAUAGCUUCUUGAUGCACCACCUGGAGGUUCAGGUCCCAUAUGACAUUUGGAAGAUUUCCAGGCUUGGAGUCUUGUCUCUGUAGCAAGAGUUUCCUGAUGCUCCAAGAAUCCUUACUGCAAGUGCAGAGCUGAAGAGCAUUUAAGCCCAGGAUUUGGGGCUCCUGCCUCCAAGAACAAAGAGCAGUGACAAUCUGGCAGCCCUGCAGCCACAGAUCUGGGACUCAAAGAAUCAUCUGCAGGGCCUUCCACAUGCCAGCAUCUGCCUGCAGCUCUGCAGCUCAAACCUCUGCCCACCACCUGGUAUCUCCUAUUCACAGUGUGCAUUCACUGAUCAUUUAUACUCCAUGAACUAGAAUAGUGUUUAGUAGUAUUUUUUGGAAGCUGACUUCUAACUGUGUUAUGGCAUACUCCAUGAUUUAUUGCACAACUUUUAGUAGUCUUAAACUUUCUAUAAUAUCAAACAUGAAAAAUUACAGAUUUGCAAUAUUUUGAUGUCUUUCUUCUGUCCUUUCACAACAACAUCUACAAUCGUUACUAGAAUGAAAAGUUGCAUUAUCAUUCCCUUUUGUAAUUUCCUGUCAUUGACUACAUCCCUUAGUGCAAGGGUCAUCAUUUUAAAGAUGGAUGUCUGAUUUUGGCCAAGUACAGCUAUAGUUGUCCAUGUAAUAAAAAUACUUGCAAUGAGAGCCUAUAGGGUGAAAAUUCAAAUUUGAUCCAAAACUGCAAAUUAUUCAUCCUAGAGACUCAUCAAAAAAUGCAUUUUUCCCUUCAUUCAGCCUUAUUUCAUGUCUUUCUCACUUGUAAAAUAAACUCCGUGCUGUUUAUGAGCUCUUGAUUUUUCUCUUUCCCCCCGUUCUUUCACUUCUAAGUCCAUCUAGAGCUUCUAGCACUAUUUACUGUAAAUAUACCAGCAUCCUUUCAAUUAAGGUGUUAUGUGGUAAAUGUAAACAUAUAUACUAAUUUUCAUCUGCCUUUUUUCAAGUUUAAAUAAUAUACUAAACAUGCAUCAACCAAUUCUAAACAUGCAUCAACCAGCUCUUGGGUUUGCCACUAAAAUAAGGAUUAACUUGGCACGCUUAUCAUACACUGACUACUGCUAUACCAGGGGAACUAGACAGAAUAAAAAAUGUCAUAGUGAGCUUUUCCAAGGAAUUUUCUGUAAAGAAAAAGCUGGGUAAUUGGUAAGGAAAUAAUAACAAUGGAAAUGUUUACGGCAUGGAUUGGGAAAUGCAUUUGUCCUUGCUGCUGGACUUACCUAUCAUCACAUUUAAACCUACUGUUUUCGAAGGUGUAUGAUCUUUUCUGACAUGACAUUUCUGAGACCUGAAGCAGUUUAGUUGUUCCCAUUAGCACACGGAACAAUGACUAAAAGUCUCAGUGUUAUACAGCAGGUUCAUCUUAAGUGUUGUUCAUCAUAUUUCAUUCCUUUUGUAAAAUUCCUCAAAUUCACAACAUUCUUACCAGAAUACAAAUAAGCCUAACAACCAAUCAACCAAAAAAAA